CCUACGGGAGGCAGCAGUGGGGAAUAUUGGACAAUGGGGGGAACCCUGAUCCAGCGACGCCGCGUGAGUGAAGAAGUAUUUCGGUAUGUAAAGCUCUAUCAGCAGGGAAGAAAGAAAUAACGUUACCUAACUAAGAAGCCCCGGCUAACUACGUGCCAGCAGCCGCGGUAAUACGUAGGGGGCAAGCGGUAUCCGGAUUUACUGGGUGUAAAGGUAGCGUAGACGGCGAUGCAAGUCUGAAGUGAAAGGCGGGGGCACAACCCCCGUACUGCUUUGGAAACUGUAUGGCUGGAGUGCAGGAGAGGUAAGUGGAAUGCCUAGUGUAGCGGUGAAAUGCGUAGAUAUUAGGAGGAACACCAGUGGCGAAGGCGGCUUACUGGACUGUAACUGACGUUGAGGCUCGAAAGCGUGGGGAGCAAACAGGAUUAGAUACCCGUGUAGUC
rnacentral:rRNA from 1 species